rnacentral:rRNA from 1 species
UACGUAGGGGGCAAGCGUUGUCCGGAUUUAUUGGGCGUAAAGCGCGUGUAGGUGGCCAUGUAGGUCCGCUGUGAAAACUCGAGGCUCAACCUCGAGCUGUCGGUGGAAACCACAUGGCUAGAGUCCGGAAGGGGAGAGUGGAAUUCCUGGUGUAGCGGUGAAAUGCGCAGAUAUCAGGAAGGAACACCCAGUGGCGAAAGGCGCUCUCUGG